rnacentral:rRNA from 2 species
UCGUCACACUAUCAUUAACUGAAUCCAUAGGUUAAUGAGGCGAACCGGGGGAACUGAAACAUCUAAGUACCCCGAGGAAAAGAAAUCAACCGAGAUUCCCCCAGUAGCGGCGAGCGAACGGGGAGGAGCCCAGAGCCUGAAUCAGCAUGUGUGUUAGUGGAAGCGUCUGGAAAGGCGCGCGAUACAGGGUGACAGCCCCGUACACAAAAGCGCAUGUGCUGUGAGCUCGAUGAGUAGGGCGGGACACGUGGUAUCCUGUCUGAAUAUGGGGGGACCAUCCUCCAAGGCUAAAUACUCCUGACUGACCGAUAGUGAACCAGUACCGUGAGGGAAAGGCGAAAAGAACCCCGGCGAGGGGAGUGAAAAAGAACCUGAAACCGUGUACGUACAAGCAGUGGGAGCCCCACCACUAAGCCAGUGGUGAACUCCACAUACGCAUCCUUUGCUGAGGAUACGGUUAACGGAGCGAAAGCGACGUUCAACCUCAAAAGAAGCAGAGGGGGCUUAGUGGUGGGGUGACUGCGUACCUUUUGUAUAAUGGGUCAGCGACUUAUAUUCUGUAGCAAGGUUAACCGUAUAGGGGAGCCGGAGGGAAACCGAGUCUUAACCGGGCGUUAAGUUGCAGGGUAUAGACCCGAAACCCGGUGAUCUAGCCAUGGGCAGGUUGAAGGUUGGGUAACACUAACUGGAGGACCGAACCGACUAAUGUUGAAAAAUUAGCGGAUGACCUGUGGCUGGGGGUGAAAGGCCAAUCAAACCGGGAGAUAGCUGGUUCUCCCCGAAAGCUAUUUAGGUAGCGCCUCGUGAAUUCAUCUCCGGGGGUAGAGCACUGUUUCGGCUAGGGGGCCAUCCCGGCUUACCAACCCGAUGCAAACUGCGAAUACCGGAGAAUGUUAUCACGGGAGACACACGGCGGGUGCUAACGUCCGUCGUGAAGAGGGAAACAACCCAGACCGCCAGCUAAGGUCCCAAAGUCAUGGUUAAGUGGGAAACGAUGUGGGAAGGCCCAGACAGCCAGGAUGUUGGCUUAGAAGCAGCCAUCAUUUAAAGAAAGCGUAAUAGCUCACUGGUCGAGUCGGCCUGCGCGGAAGAUGUAACGGGGCUAAACCAU